CGUAACACGUAGGUAAUCUACCCUUGAGCGGGGGAUAACGUUUCGAAAAAGACGCUAAUACCGCAUAAGACCACGGAUUCUUCGGAGUCUGCGGUCAAAGCUGGCCUCUUCAUGAAAGCUAGCACUUGAGGAUGAACCUGCGGCCCAUCAGCUAGUUGGUAGGGUAACGGCCUACCAAGGCGAAGACGGGUAGCUGGUCUGAGAGGAUGAUCAGCCACACUGGAACUGGAACACGGUCCAG
rnacentral:rRNA from 1 species